rnacentral:rRNA from 1 species
AUUAGAGUUUGAUCAUGGCUCAGGAUGAACGCUAGCGACAGGCCUAACACAUGCAAGUCGAGGGGCAUCGGGACGUAGCAAUACGUUGCCGGCGACCGGCGGAUGGGUGAGUAACGCGUAUGCAACCUACCCGUAGCAGGGGGAUAGCCCGUUGAAAGACGGAUUAAUACCCCGUAACACAGGGGCUCCGCAUGGAGAUUAUUGUUAAAGGGUCAUUUCUUUUAGAGGUGGUCCGGCUGCGGAUGGGCAUGCGUUCCAUUAGGUAGUUGGUGUAGGUAACAGCUCACCAAGCCGACGAUGGAUAGGGGAACUGAGAGGUUGGUCCCCCACACUGGUACUGAGACACGGACCAGACUCCUACGGGAGGCAGCAGUGAGGAAUCUUGGUCAAUGGAUGCAAGUCUGAACCAGCCAUGUCGCGUGAAGGAGGACGGCCCUAAGGGUUGUAAACUUCUUUUGCAGUGGAAUAAAGUUUGCCACGAGUUGGCGAUUUGCAAGUACGCUGCGAAUAAGGAUCGGCUAACUCCGUGCCAGCAGCCGCGGUAAUAAU